AGAACGAACGCUGGCGGCAGGCUUAACACAUGCAAGUCGAGCGCCCCGCAAGGGGAGCGGCAGACGGGUGAGUAACGCGUGGGAAUCUACCUAGCUCUUCGGAAUAGCUCCGGGAAACUGGAAUUAAUACCGAGUACGCCCUACGGGGGAAAGAUUUAUCGGAGUUAGAUGAGCCCGCGUUGGAUUAGCUAGUUGGUGGGGUAAUGGCCUACCAAGGCGACGAUCCAUAGCUGGUCUGAGAGGAUGAUCAGCCACACUGGGACUGAGACACGGCCCAGACUCCUACGGGAGGCAGCAGUGGGGAAUAUUGGACAAUGGGCGCAAGCCUGAUCCAGCCAUGCGCGUGAGUGAUGAAGGCCCUAGGGUUGUAAAGCUCUUUCAGUGGGGAAGAUAAUGACGGUACCCACAGAAGAAGCCCCGGCUAACUUCGUGCCAGCAGCCGC
rnacentral:rRNA from 1 species